CUCAGGACGAACGCUGGCGGCGUGCUUAACACAUGCAAGUCGAACGGAAAGGCCCUGCUUUUGUGGGGUGCUCGAGUGGCGAACGGGUGAGUAACACGUGAGUACCUGCCCUUGACUUUGGGAUAACUUCAGGAAACUGGGGCUAAUACCGGAUAGGAGCUCCUGCUGCAUGGUGGGGGUUGGAAAGUUUCGGCGGUUGGGGAUGGACUCGCGGCUUAUCAGCUUGUUGGUGGGGUAGUGGCUUACCAAGGCUUUGACGGGUAGCCGGCCUGAGAGGGUGACCGGCCACAUUGGGACUGAGAUACGGCCCAGACUCCUACGGGAGGCAGCAGUGGGGAAUAUUGCACAAUGGGCGGAAGCCUGAUGCAGCAACGCCGCGUGCGGGAUGACGGCCUUCGGGUUGUAAACCGCUUUCGCCUGUGACGAAGCGUGAGUGACGGUAAUGGGUAAAGAAGCACCGGCUAACUACGUGCCAGCAGCCGCGGUGAUACGUAGGGUGCGAGCGUUGUCCGGAUUUAUUGGGCGUAAAGGGCUCGUAGGUGGUUGAUCGCGUCGGAAGUGUAAUCUUGGGGCUUAACCCUGAGCGUGCUUUCGAUACGGGUUGACUUGAGGAAGGUAGGGGAGAAUGGAAUUCCUGGUGGAGCGGUGGAAUGCGCAGAUAUCAGGAGGAACACCAGUGGCGAAGGCGGUUCUCUGGGCCUUUCCUGACGCUGAGGAGCGAAAGCGUGGGGAGCGAACAGGCUUAGAUACCCUGGUAGUCCACGCUGUAAACGGUGGGUACUAGGUGUGGGGUCCAUUCCACGGGUUCCGUGCCGUAGCUAACGCUUUAAGUACCCCGCCUGGGGAGUACGGCCGCAAGGCUAAAACUCAAAGGAAUUGACGGGGCUCCGCACAAGCGGCGGAGCAUGCGGAUUAAUUCGAUGCAACGCGUAGAACCUUACCUGGGUUUGACAUGGAUCGGGAGUGCUCAGAGAUGGGUGUGCCUCUUUUGGGGUCGGUUCACAGGUGGUGCAUGGCUGUCGUCAGCUCGUGUCGUGAGAUGUUGGGUUAAGUCCCGCAACGAGCGCAACCCUUGUUCACUGUUGCCAGCAUCGUUAUGGUGGGGACUCAGCGGAGACCGCCGGGGUCAACUCGGAGGAAGGUGGGGAUGACGUCAAGUCAUCAUGCCCCUUAUGUUCAGGGCUUCACGCAUGCUACAAUGGCUGGUACAGAGAGUGGCGAGCCUGUGAGGGUGAGCGAAUCUCGGAAAGCCGGUCUCAGUUCGGAUUGGGGUCUGCAACUCGACCUCAUGAAGUCGGAGUCGAUAGUAAUCGCAGAUCAGCAACGCUGCGGUGAAUACGUUCCCGGGGCUUGUACACACCGCCCGUCAAGUCAUGAAAGUUGGUAACACCCGAAGCCGGUGGCCUAACCGUUGUGGGGGAGCCGUCGAAGGUGGGACUGGUGAUUAGGAAUAGGUCGUAACAAGGU
rnacentral:rRNA from 1 species